rnacentral:ncRNA from 1 species
UGCGGUAACGCGACUGACCCCGGAGAAACUGGCGGGAGCCCCGGGGAGAGUUAUUUUCUUUGUGAAGGGCAGAGCGGCCUGGAAUGGGUUCGCCCCGGGAGAGGGGCCCAAGCCCUGGAAAGCUUUGCGGUUUCGGCGGCGUCCGGUGAGCUCUCCCUGGCCCUUGAAAAUCUGGGGG